GGAGAGAUGGCUGAGUGGUUGAUAGCUCCGGUCUUGAAAACCGGUAUAGUUCCUAGAACUAUCGAGGGUUCGAAUCCCUCUCUCUCCU
rnacentral:tRNA from 2 species